rnacentral:lncRNA from 1 species
AGGGGACAUACCAGUACCAUGUGGAUCCCCACUGACUUGACCCAUAGUAUGCCCAGAAAUUUAGUCAGCCUCUUGGUAAAGUUCUCUGUCCAGUUUUUGCAAUAAGUUCUAUAAAAAGCCUCUAGAUAACUUGAUGACAGCUCCCUCUCAGGCUGCUCUCCCAUUAUAUCAUGGAAUCUUAAUGUGCUCUGCAACUCUCCAGCUUUGGGGGAACUCUGCUUGUUUUCUGCAUUAAUUCCUCUUUUAAACUUAUUUUUUUAAAAGCAAAAACAAAAACAAAAAAACCCAACUUUCGGAAUUUAUCUUCAGUGGCUGAUUCAGGCAAUCCAGUGUUCCCUGAGCUGUGAGAGGAAGGAUUUGAUGCAGACAUCUGCUUUAGAGCUUCGUGUUCCCAAAUGUCUCUCUGCAUAAUCUCUGGCUAUGGGUCUCUGCAUUUGUCCCCAUCUGCUGUAGGAGGAAGCCUCUCUGAUGAUGACUGACUAAGGCACUGAUUAUGUGAGUAUAGGAGAAUAUCAUUAGGAGUCA